GAUGAACGCUGGCGGCGUGCCUAAUACAUGCAAGUCGAGCGAACAGAUGAGGAGCUUGCUCCUCUGACGUUAGCGGCGGACGGGUGAGUAACACGUGGGUAACCUACCUAUAAGACUGGGAUAACUUCGGGAAACCGGAGCUAAUACCGGAUAAUAUAUCGAACCGCAUGGUUCGAUAGUGAAAGAUGGCUUUGCUAUCACUUAUAGAUGGACCCGCGCCGCAUUAGCUAGUUGGUAAGGUAACGGCUUACCAAGGCAACGAUACGUAGCCGACCUGAGAGGGUGAUCGGCCACACUGGAACUGAGACACGGUCCAGACUCCUACGGGAGGCAGCAGUAGGGAAUCUUCCGCAAUGGGCGAAAGCCUGACGGAGCAACGCCGCGUGAGUGAUGAAGGUCUUCGGAUCGUAAAACUCUGUUAUUAGGGAAGAACAAACGUGUAAGUAACUGUGCACGUCUUGACGGUACCUAAUCAGAAAGCCACGGCUAACUACGUG
rnacentral:rRNA from 1 species